CCGCCACACAUCCUCCCACGCGCAACAAAGCAUCGCGCCGAAAACAGAAAACCCUCACCCGAAACCUAAACUCGCAGUCUAGCCUCCUAACUCAUGAUCUCCUUUCACGCGAACUCCCUUCGUCGAAACCACCAACCCUAAACUCUGUCUCAAUCUCUGUCAACUUCUCGACCCAUCCUCUCUCCGUCGAAGCUCUCUCCGCCGAAGUCCUCUCUGUUGAAUUGAUCUUCGUUGGGAUUUUUUUUUUGGAUCAAUCAUCUUAAUCCAAGUGUUAGCUCAUUGUUGGUUGUUUAGUUGUUACAAGAAUGGGCAAAGAAUGGAUGUCAAAGGAUAGACUAUCAUGUGAAUAUGAGUUUGGAGUAGUCUCUCUUGCAAUUUGCAAUGAAAAAUGCUAAUGAUCUGAAUGCAAUACCUUGUUCAUGAGACUGGAGAAUAUACUUACCAAAGCACUUGAGACUGGAGAAUAUAAUGGUCAUGUGAGGGGUAUUGAAGGUCAUAUCACUCCAACAAUAUAUUUCAAUUUUGGUAGAACAUGGAAGCGUGCUGAUGUUGCUUGAUAUAUGUGGAUAUGCUCAGGGGGCCCAAAGGGAAUAAGGGAGAAGAUGGAGGGCAUUCUCAUCAUUUCACAUAUUAAGGGUUUUUGACUUUAUAAGUGCACUGUUCACCACGAGAAAAGGGAGGAGGCUUCUUCAUGUUUUUGGGGUUUUCCGCCGCCGUCGAGCACAAGGGGUUGGAGGUUUUUGUUCAUGGAUCUUCGACCACCGACACGAGAGCAUGUGCGAGGGAGCCGUCAUCUUCCCCUUCUUCACGCUGACCUCGGCCUCGACACACUCCUCCUCAUCGUCUCUGGCGCCGACCAUCCUUGGUCAGCGAGAUUGCCUCCUCCGCAACCACAGCCGCCAUCUCCAGAGGGUGCCACCGCCGACAGCCACUGCCUCCUCCUCCUGCGGCCAUAACCGCCGUCUCUAGCGGAUGUCGUCGCUGGCAGCCGCCGCUGCCUCCUCCUACGGCCACGACCGCAGCCUCCCGUGUUCGCCAGCUCUGCACUGUUACCCUCUAGACUGCCGACUUUCGUUGGUCACGAUUCUCCCUUUCCAUCGCAGCAGAUCUGAGCGUGUUCCUCAUCCACAGUGUUAUGUCUUUCGCAUCGCUGAUGUGUUUUGGCCUUCGAGCCGAUGUUGUGCCUCCGACCUUUGUGCCGAUACUAUGUUGUCGGCCUUCGAGCCGAUAUUGUGUUUCCGACUUUCGAGCUGAUAUUGUGUUCUAGUCUUUGCAUUAUCCCGGCUUGCGCACCGUUAUUAUCUCCCGACCUACGUGCCAAUGUCUUAUCCCGACUUGCGUGCCAAUGUCAUAGCUCGACAUGCUUACCGAGAUCGCAUUCAGUUUCACGCCGCCGCUUCUGACUCCUUGUCGCGUCCGACUCUCUUUGUUAGAUCCAACUCUUCAUCCGACUCGGAAUCUGCUCUUUCGGGUCACAACCACUCGACCAGCUCCCCGUUCCAUCCGAGGGUGCCCCCCGGGGCCAGGGUAUGUCACCAUACUCAUGCUUUUAUUCAUUUCAUUGUCCUACUAUUCGGUUGCUUAUAUAUUCAUGAGACUCGCCUCAAGCAUCGGGGUACCAGAGACCGGAGCAACCCGGUCGCUGGCUACAAGUACUGUCGACCAAAGGACUUCUGACGACUUGGUCAACAUAGAAGAUAGCUCACUAUCCGAGUCAUGGAGAUGCAGUCAACAUCCAAACACGUCAUUCCGGCAGUUCCGUCUUUUCAGAUUCCCGAUAGGAACAUUGCCCAAUAUGUAAUCAUUGAGCAUAAAAGGGAGUUGAUAGAGGCGAGGAAGAAAAUUUCAGAACAAGAUGCAUGUAUACAAAAUCUUCAAGUAAUGGUGUAUAAAAAGGGUGCAAGCGACAUUUCGAUUGAUGACAAAGGAAGUUGCUAAGUGAAGUUGCAUCCUAUGAUUAAAGAUGACAUGAAGAUCGAUGAUGAUGACCCACAAAUUUUGUGUCAAGAUGAUGCUUUAUAGGUAUAACACUAGUUGUAAUUAUAUUAAUUGUGACCUAUAGAUUCUGUGACCUGCAACUUGUAUAUUUUAGGAUAAACUAGUUGCAUUGACAUUGGAAUCUAGCACAAAUAUUGUUGCACACGGUACAAUUGUUAGUAUUAAUGGACCUGAUAAAAUGCUUCAUGGUGUUCCAUUUCCCAAUAAUUGCAUGCGAGUCUCCAUUGAUGAAGCAGUGGAAAAAUAAACACCUUUGCCAUAUCCAAUUCCAAGUGAGUUUGAAGUAAUUGGUGAUGCUGUAGGAACCCAUGUGACUUGGCUAAAACACUUGAUAGUGAAGCAAGAUGAGGUAUUUGUUAUAUUAUAUUUCAAAUUAAAUUGUCACUCUUUUUAUUAAUCAUCCUAUCUAACUUGUUUUCAUUUGAAAUUAUUAGAAGCCUCGAAGGAAGAACUUUGAACAACCAAAAAAGAAACAUACUUUGUCAACAAGUGUCCCAAGAUCAUUACAUAUGUUAUAUUGUUAUAGUAAGCAUCCUUUAUAUAAUGACAGAUAUAUAUCAAUGAGUUUAGAUAAUGAUGUGUUUGACGAUGAUUAUGAACUUCUUCUGCACCUUGAGGACAUCAUUCCUUUGUAUCAUUUGGAGCCAUUUUCAGACAAUUGUGUAGUUAGCUACAUAUGAUAAGUGAUCAGAUUUAGCAAUUUAUGCUCAUACUAAGAUAGUUACUGCAAUCAUGAUCAGUCUAUUUUUAGAUAUCUACCUCUUCAAUUUAUUGUGCUUGCAAUGACAGACAUCUUUAUAAAAAAAUGUUGAAAGAUAACAAGAAAGAGAAAUUCAAAUUUGUGAAUCCACACAACAUCCCACAUAUGACAAACACUACACACGACAAAAAAGGUAAGCUUGAAAGGCUGAACCAAAGGGCAAGUCAUUUAGUAGGCAGGUUGAGUGGUGCAUCAGUGGAUCAACUAGUAUUAGUACCAUGUAAUAUCGAGUAAGUAAAAUUCUGAGUCUUUUUUCUUUCAGUUUUUUAUAUUAUUUUUUUUGCUAUUGCUUUUAAUCCGAGUUGAAAGAACGAGAAAAGUUUUUAUUUAUUUUUCAGGCAACUCAACCCUCUCUAGCCGACCUACCCGGACCAACAAGCUGGACUUCUUGUUAGAUAUCAGCUCACUUAUUGACCUAUCUGGACUUCAUGUCAGUUAUCAAGUCCUUAGAACUAAUUGGGUUUUAGCCUAGUGUUAGGUCCUCUAGACUCGUCAAUUAAUGCACACUCGGUAAAGAAGUUAAACAAAUAUAACAUAUUACUUUAAUCCAUUUGUCAUUCACCAAAAUCUGAAUUUGACCAUUAUUACUAACUGCACCAACAGAGGGCAUCGUUGGACUUCUUGCAGUCUAAAAAAUUUACAUGACUUGAAAUGGUUGCAAUAUGAGGUCUUUAGGUCGAUUAGUGGAUUUUGACUAAAAUUACUAAUCGACCUAGAUAGGUUCGAUUGGAACUAUUUCAAAUCUUAUGAAUUUAUGAGGUUGCAAGGAGUCCAACGAUGCCCUCUAUUGGUUAUUUCGACUUCUUUGAAGGUGUUACAAUGUUAUCAACAAAAACUUAAACCCUGUGGUUUGUGGGCUUGAUAUUCCAUAUUAGGUCUAACUAGGGGUGUCAAUUCGGGUGGGUUGGGUGGGUUCGGGUUGGGUUGAAAAUCAUUUUUUUUAAAAAUCACCCAACCCGAACCCGACCCGAACCCGACUCUAACCCGAAACCUAUAAACCCGAACCCGAACCCGUUCCAACCCGGAUAACCCGCGAACCCGAUUUUAUUUUUAAUUAUUCUUUUAUUUUUUUUAUCAGUCUCAAAAAAAUAAAAGCAUGAAUCUCAGUUGAUGGUAUCUAGGGAUGUCAAUUCGGGUGGGUUGGGUGGGUUCGGGUUGGGUUGAAAAUCAAUGUUUUUAAAAAUCACCCAACCCGAGCCCGACCCGAACCCGACUCUAACCCGAAACCUAUAAACCCGAACCCGAAUCCGUUCCAACCCGGAUAACCCGCGAACCCGAUUUUAUUUUUAAUUAUUCUUUUAUUUUUUUUAUCAGUCUCAAAAAAAUAAAAGCAUGAAUCUCAGUUGAUGGUAUCCAGAAGAAGAUAUUUGAUGUUCUCUACAGGAUAGCAGACAUUCCUUUCUUGAAACCAUACUAGAUAAAAAUCAUUGAUGUUAUUGAGAAGGUAGACUGGUAGAGAAACAACCUACCGUCACCAUUGGGCAUUGGAGUUCUGCUGUUCUGGUGUCCACGGUAGUGGUAUUUGCCACUGCCAUAGUCUGAUUAUUUGAUAGUCAGGAUUCUCUUUGGUAGCAAAAAGAAACCUCAGAGACAAGUCUCGGCACCGUCUGGUUCCAAAACCAAGUCAGCCGAAACUGUUGGGAAUGAUUCUCCAGGCACUAAUGAAGAGAAAGAAGAGAAUGUAAAAGUUGAUGAUGCAUCUGCUCCUCGAGCUUGGAAAUCCAGAAGGAGACCUGAGGUAGCAAGCUCUUCAAAUUUUGUGAGAUGUUCACAGUUCAGAUAUGCGUUGCGUUGUUAGGCUUUCCAGUGGCGGCUGAAGCGCACAUUUGCCUCCUUCCAAUUAAAAGUUAGCUUUACAAUUUGUCCUUGAAUUUGUGGACUAGAAAACUGUGGCUUAUAUAAUUUCUUGUAAUUUGCUUCUUUGAACAAUUAUUUUUAGAGUUAA